rnacentral:rRNA from 1 species
CCAAUAGCGUAUAUUAAAGUUGUUGCAGUUAAAAAGCUCGUAGUUGAAUUUCGGGAUUGACGUAAUGGUCAUGCCUUAAGGGGUAUGAACUGGUACUGUUGAUUUCUCACCUUCUGGAGAAACUUGAUGUCCUUUAUUGGGUGUCUAGUGGAACCAGGACCUUUACCUUGAAAAAAUUAGAGUGUUUAAAGCAGGCAUUUUUGCUCGAAUAAAUUAGCAUGGAAUAAUAGAAUAGAACGGCAUGAUUCUAUUUGGUUGGUUUCUAGGAUCACCGUACUGAUUAAUAGGGAUAGUUGAGGGCAUUAGUAUUCAAUUGUCAGAGGUGAAAUUCUUGGAUUUAUUGAAGACUAACUACUGCGAAAGCAUUUGCCAAGGAUGUUUUCAUUAAUCAAGAACGAAAGUUAGGGGAUCGAAGACGAUCAGAUACCGUCGUAGUCUUAACCAUAAACUAUGCCGACUAGGAAUCAGACGAUGUUAAUUUUUUAAUGACUCGUUUGGCACCUUACG